AAUAAGUGCAGUUUUGCACUAUUCACGUUCAAUGUUUGACCGUUUAUCUUAUUUGAAAAUUUUUUAUGAUUAGUAUUUUUGUUGCUAUUAGAUGAUAAAACAUGAAUAGUACUAAAUAUUUUCAAAUUUUUUAUAAAUUUUUCAAAUAAGAAGGACGGUCAAACGUUGGGCACGGAUAUCUAUGGCUGUAUUUAUU
rnacentral:pre_miRNA from 1 species